AGGCCACUGAUUCGCUAAGACUGAGCAGCAAGAGGCAGUGCCCAGAGCCGAAGCCAGCCAGACUAACGGCCUGAUUCUGCCUCAGCACACAGAAGAGAUGGCCAGAGUGAGACCCCUGAGAAGAUGUGACUCCAGGGAGAGGCUCCCAUUAUGAUGUGUGUCCUCAUCACUGGCCCAAAACCGUUGAGUCUAUUGAUCAUUGACUGGAACCUCCAAAUGGAUGGAUUUACUGACCUACUUUUAACAGACCAAACAAGGAAGAUGUGAUGCCUAGUGGAAAUUGAACUCACGACCUCAAGCUUACCAGACAGGCCCUGUGCCUUGAGCUACAUCCCUGGCCACCAUGCAGCUCUUGAAGAUGGACCCUGAGCCAGCAGCCCCCAGCCAUGCCACACCCAAACUUCUGACUCACAGAAACUGGGAAAAUAUAAGCUUUAAGUUGCC